AUUGAACGCUGGCGGCAGGCCUAACACAUGCAAGUCGAGCGAGCGGCGGACGGGUGAGUAAUGACUGGGAAACAGCCUGAUGGAGGGGGAUAACUACUGGAAACGGUAGCUAAUACAGCAUACCAUCAGAUGUGCCAAGAUGGGAUGAGCUAGUAGGUGGGGGAACGGAUCACCUAGGCGACGAUCCCUAGCUGGUCUGAGAGGAUGACCAGCCACACUGGAACUGAGACACGGUCCAGACUCCUACGGGAGGCAGCGUUGGGGAAUAUUGCACAAUGGGCGCAAGCCUGAUACAGCCAUGCCGCGUGUGUGAAGAAGGCCUUCGGGUUGUAAAGCACUUUCAGCGGGGAGGCGUUACCCGCAGAAGAAGCACCGGCUAACUCCGUGCCAGCAGCCGCGGUAAUUC
rnacentral:rRNA from 1 species